rnacentral:tRNA from 1 species
GCCCGGCCGGCCGGCGUGCUGGUGGCCGGCGCACUCGUAAUGCGUAGGUCAAGGGUUCGAUUCCCUUAGGCGGCUCCA